AGAUGGCGACCGGCGCACGGGUGAGUAACACGUAUCCAACCUGCCGAUAACUCGGGGAUAGCCUUUCGAAAGAAAGAUUAAUACCCGAUGGUAUAAUCAGACCGCAUGGUUUGAUUAUUAAAGAAUUUCGGUUAUCGACGGGGAUGCGUUCCAUUAGGCAGUUGGUGAGGUAACGGCUCACCAAACCUUCGAUGGAUAGGGGUUCUGAGAGGAAGGUCCCCCACAUUGGAACUGAGACACGGUCCAA
rnacentral:rRNA from 1 species